rnacentral:rRNA from 1 species
UACGGAGGGUGCAAACGUUGCUCGGAAUCAUUGGGCGUAAAGCGCACGUAGGCGGUCCGUUAUGUCGGGUGUGAAAGCCCUCGGCUUAACCGAGGAAGUGCAUUCGAAACUGGCGGACUUGAGUACCGGAGAGGGUCGCGGAAUUCCCGGUGUAGAGGUGAAAUUCGUAGAUGUCGGGAGGAACACCAGUGGCGAAGGCGGCGACCUGGACGGAUACUGACGCUGAGGUGCGAAAGCGUGGGGAGCAAACAGG